rnacentral:rRNA from 1 species
UACAGAGGGUGCAAGCGUUGUUCGGAAUUAUUGGGCGUAAAGCGCGUGUAGGCGGCUUGGCAAGUCGGGUGUGAAAGCCCUCAGCUCAACUGAGGAAGUGCGCCCGAAACUGCUUUGCUUGAGUGCUGGAGAGGGUCGCGGAAUUCCCCAAGUAGAGGUGAAAUUCGUAGAUAUGGGGAGGAACACCGGUGGCGAAGGCGGCGGACCUGGACAGUAACUGACGCUGAGCACGCGAAAGCGUGGGUAGCAAACAGG